rnacentral:rRNA from 1 species
GUGGGGAAUCUUAGACAAUGGGCGCAAGCCUGAUCUAGCCAUGCCGCGUGAGCGAUGAAGGCCUUAGGGUUGUAAAGCUCUUUCGUGGGGGAAGAUAAUGACUGUACCCCAAGAAGAAGCCCCGACUAACUCCGUGCCAGCAGCCGCGGUAAUACGGAGGGGGCUAGCGUUGUUCGGAAUUACUGGGCGUAAAGCGCACGUAGGCGGACUGGAAAGUCAGGGGUGAAAUCCCGGGGCUCAACCCCGGAACUGCCUUUGAAACUCCCAGUCUUGAGUUCGAGAGAGGUGAGUGGAAUUCCGAGUGUAGAGGUGAAAUUCGUAGAUAUUCGGAGGAACACCAGUGGCGAAGGCGGCUCACUGGCUCGAUACUGACGCUGAGGUGCGAAAGCGUGGGGAGCUAACAGGAUUAGAAACCCGGGUAGUCC